UACGUAAGUGGCGAGCGUUAUCCGGAAUUACUGGGCGUAAAGCGUGCGUAGGCGGUUUAGUGUGUGGGAUUUGAAAGCCCGGGGCUCAACUCCGGAUCCGGAUCCCAAACUGCUAGACUCGAGAGUAUCAGAGGAGAGCGGAAUUCCUGGUGUAGCGGUAAUAUGCGUAGAUAUCGGGAGGAACACCAGUGGCGAAGGCGGCUCUCUGGGGUAUUUCUGACGCUGAGGCACGAAAGCCAGGGGAGCGAACGGG
rnacentral:rRNA from 1 species